UAACCUACGUACAGGUUACCAUCACAGUUGCUCCUACUGCUAAUACUCCAUACUGUGUACCGACCAAAGGGGGUUUCGGCUCUCUCCUUUAUAUUGAGGUAACUGGGAAUUUUGAUCUGGUGUCGUUAUGUCUCACCAAGGUAACCAUCCCUUUUGAUUCUGGCAGAAUGAUCAGCCAUGCUGAGACUGAGACACGGCCCAGACUCCUACGGGAGGCAGCAGUGGGGAAUAUUGCACAAUGGGCGCAAGCCUGAUGCAGCCAUGCCGCGUGUGUGAAGAAGGCCUUCGGGUUGUAAAGCACUUUCAGUCGGGAGGAAAGGUUAGUAGUUAAUACCUGCUAGCUGUGACGUUACUGACAGAAGAAGCACCGGCUAACUCCGUGCCAGCAGCCGCGGUAAUACGGAGGGUGCGAGCGUUAAUCGGAAUUACUGGGCGUAAAGCGUACGCAGGCGGUUUGUUAAGCGAGAUGUGAAAGCCCCGGGCUCAACCUGGGAACUGCAUUCGAACUGGCAAACUAUAGUGUGAUAGAGGGUGGUAGAAUUUCAUGUGUAUCGGUGAAAUGCGUACAGAUCUGAAGGAAUACCGAUGGCGAAGGCAGCCACCUGUGUCAACACUGACGCUCAUGUACGAAAGCGUGGGGAGCGAACGGGAUUAGAUACCCCGGUAGUCCACGCCGUAAACGAUGUCUACUAGAAGCUCGGAGCCUCGGUUCUGGUUUUUCCAAGCUAACGCAUUAAGUAGACCGCCCUGGGGAGUACGGCCUGCAACGUUAAAACUCAAAUGAAUUGACCGGGGGCCCCGCACAAGCUGUCGGUAGCAAUGUUGGUUUUAAUUCGAUGCAACGCGAAGGAACCUUACCCUAACACUUGGAACAUUACAGAGAACUUAGCCAGAGAUCGAUUGGGUGCCCUCCGGUAACCUCCUGGAUGACAGUGGCCUGCAUUGGCCUGUACGACCACGCUCGUGUUUUUGGAGAUGUAUCGGCUUAAAGUUCCCCGCAAUCGAGGCGCCAACCCCUAUCCCUUACUUGCCUAGCCAUGCUAUGGCUGGGAGAACUCUCUAGGACAUCUGCCGGUGAAUAACCGGAAGAAAGUGCGGACCGCGCUUCAAAGUAUCCAUCUUAUCGGCCUUACACU
rnacentral:rRNA from 1 species